rnacentral:rRNA from 1 species
GGUUUCCGUAGGUGAACCUGCGGAAGGAUNAUU